rnacentral:misc_RNA from 1 species
GAUGAAGAACGCAGUGAAAUGCGAUACGUAAUGUGAAUUGCAAAUUCAGUGAAUCAUCGAGUCUUUGAACGCACAUUGCGCCCCCUGGUAUUCCGGGGGGCAUGCCUGUCCGAGCGUCAUUACUGCCCUCAAGCCCGGCUUGUGUGUUGGGCCCCGUCCUCCGAUCCCGGGGGACGGGCCCGAAAGGCAGCGGCGGCACCGCGUCCGGUCCUCGAGCGUAUGGGGCUUUGUCACCCGCUCUGUAGGCCCGGCCGGCGCUUGCCGAUCAACCCCAAUUUUUAUAGGUUGACCUCGGAUCAGGUAGGGAUACCCGCUGAACUUAAGCAUAUCAAUAAGCGGAGGA